GAAUAUCUUAUAUUGUAAUCAAGCAUGACCCAGUAUAUGUAAAUUAUUGGUAAUAUGUUCAGUAACUUAUACAAGAAUAAAAAGUAGACAUAUACUUUCAUCUCUUUGGUAGUUGUUUUGCUGUUCCAGAUCAUAUAUAGCUGAGGAAUAAAGGCCACAGAUUCUAGGUAUUCGCCAAAAGCAGAUAGUAUCUAAAAA